rnacentral:rRNA from 1 species
GAGUUUGAUCGUGGCUCAGAGCGAACGCUGGCGGCAGGCUUAACACAUGCAAGUCGAGCGGGCCCUUCGGGGUCAGCGGCGGACGGGUGAGUAACGCGUGGGAACGUGCCUUCUGGUUCGGAAUAACCCUGGGAAACUAGGGCUAAUACCGGAUACGCCCUUUUGGGGAAAGGUUUACUGCCGGAAGAUCGGCCCGCGUCUGAUUAGCUAGUUGGUGGGGUAAUGGCCUACCAAGGCGACGAUCAGUAGCUGGUCUGAGAGGAUGAUCAGCCACACUGGGACUGAGACACGGCCCAGACUCCUACGGGAGGCAGCAGUGGGGAAUAUUGGACAAUGGGCGCAAGCCUGAUCCAGCCAUGCCGCGUGAGUGAUGAAGGCCUUAGGGUUGUAAAGCUCUUUUAUCCGGGACGAUAAUGACGGUACCGAGGAAUAAGCCCCGGCUAACUUCGUGCCAGCCGCCGCCGUAAC